ACUCAAAUGAAUAGACGGGGGCCCGCACAAGCGGAGGAACAUGUGGUUUAAUUCGAUGAUACGCGAGGAACCUUACCCGGGCUCGAACGGCUAAUGAAUAUUGAUAAAAGUCAAUAGUCGCAAGACAUUAGUCGAGGUGCUGCAUGGUUGUCGUCAGCUCGUGCCGUGAGGUGUCGGCUUAAGUGCCAUAACGAGCGCAACCCUUACCGUUAGUUACCAUCAAGCAAGUUGGGGACUCUAACGGGACUGCCACCGUAAGGUGUGAGGAAGGUGGGGAUGACGUCAAAUCAGCACGGCCCUUACGUCCGGGGCUACACACGUGUUACAAUGGGAUGGACAGAAGGCUGCUACUCAGCGAUGAGAUGCCAAUCUUCAAACCGUCUCCCAGUUCGGAUUGGAGUCUGCAACCCGACUCCAUGAAGCCGGAUUCGCUAGUAAUCGCGCAUCAGCCAUGGCGCGGUGAAUACGUUCCCGGGCCUUGUACACACCGCCCGU
rnacentral:rRNA from 1 species